rnacentral:misc_RNA from 1 species
CUUGUUUGAAAACAAAUCAGGAUCAAGAAAAGAGCCCAUAAGAACAUGUUGCUGGUAGAGGCAAAACAACGAUGUAAAUGGCGGUUCAUGGUGUGUGGACGGUCUAUCUUGAACUUGCCAGGCGUCGACGGGAAUAGCUCCUCCUCCAAUGAAGGCAUAUUCUUGAUCCUGAUUUGUUUUCAAACAAGUAAAAUUUUAUUUCCUCGGUUUUGGAUUAGGGAAAAGAGAGAAGAUUUGUACAGAUGCAGAGAAAUUAGUGGGUGAUAAAAUUUUCU